rnacentral:rRNA from 1 species
AUUCCAAUCGAACUCGGAGAUAGCUGGUUCUCCCCGAAAUAGCUUUAGGGCUAGCCUCGAUUUAGAUUACCGGGGGUAGAGCACUGAAUGGGCUAGGGGGCCACAAAGCUUACCGAACCCUAUCAAACUUCGAAUACCGGAUAAUUGAUGAUCGGGAGUCAGACAGUGUGAGAUAAGUUUCAUUGUCGAAAGGGAAACAGCCCAGAUCUACGACUAAGGUCCCAAAGUUCAAGUUAAGUGGAAAAGGAUGUGCAAUUGCGUAGACAACCAGGAUGUUGGCUUAGUAGCAGCCAUUCAUUCAAAGAGUGCGUAAUAGCUCACUGGUCGAGUGAUUGUGCGCCGAAAAUGUAACGGGGCUAAACUUGACACCGAAGUCUAGGCAGAAGGAAACUUCUGGGUAGGGGAGCAACGUGUACGGGCAGAAGCAGAAGCGGAAGCGACUGUGGACUGUACAGGAGAGAGAAUGCCGGCAUGAGUAGCGAGAGCAAAGUGAGAAUCUUUGCCGUCGAAAGCCUAAGGUUUCCUGAGGAAGGCUCGUCCUCUCAGGGUAAGUCGGGACCUAAGCCGAGGACAAUAGUCGUAGGCGAUGGACAAUCGGUUAAUAUUCCGAUACCGCCGAGCAACCGGAUGCAGUGACACAGAAGGAUAGGCAGAGCGUGGCGAUGGUAGACCACGUCCAAGCAGUGAGGCUGUUGUGUAGUGAAGUACGCACAACGGAAGGCUGGGCUGUGAUGGGGAACGAUUACGAUCGGUAAGCUGCUGAAUUCACGCUGGCGAGAAAAGCUGCUACGAAGCGAAGGCGCCCGUACCGCAAACCGACACAGGUAGGCGAGGAGAGAAUCCUAAGACGAGCGGGAGAACCCUUGUUAAGGAACUCGGCAAAAUGACUCCGUAACUUAGGGAGAAGGAGUGCCCAGGAAUGGGCCGCAGAGAAUAGACCCAAGCGACUGUUUACCAAAAACACAGGUCUGUGCGAAGUAGAGAUACGACGUAUACGGGCUGACACCUGCCCAGUGCCGGAAGGUUAAGGGGAAAUGUUAGGGCAACCGAAGCAUGGAACUUAAGCCCCGGUGAACGGCGGCCGUAACUAUAACGGUCCUAAGGUAGCGAAAUUCCUUGUCGGGUAAGUUCCGACCCGCACGAAUGGUGUAACGAUUUGGGUACUGUCUCAACAAGGGACCCGGCGAAAUUGUAGUAUGUGUGAAGAUGCACAUUACCCGCGAUAGGACGGAAAGACCCCGUAGAGCUUUACUGUAGUUUAACAUUGGAUUCCGGUAACAUAUGCACAGGAUAGGUGGGAGGCGGAGAAGCAGUGAUUUCGGUUGCUGCAGAGCCGACGUUGGGAUACCACUCUUGUGUUACUGGGGUUCUAACCUGUGGCCGUGAUCCGGCACAGGAACAGUGUUAGAUGGGCAGUUUGACUGGGGCGGUCGCCUCCAAAAGAGUAACGGAGGCGUCCAAAGGUUCCCUCAGAAUGGUUGGAAACCAUUCGAAGAGUACAAAGGCAGAAGGGAGCCUGACUGCGAGACCGACAGGUCGAGCAGGGACGAAAGUCGGGCUUAGUGAUCCGGCGGUAUAGAGUGGAAUUGCCGUCGCUCAACGGAUAAAAGCUACCUCGGGGAUAACAGGCUUAUCUCCCCCAAGAGUCCACAUCGACGGGGAGGUUUGGCACCUCGAUGUCGGCUCGUCGCAUCCUGGGGCUGAAGCAGGUCCCAAGGGUUUGGCUGUUCGCCAAUUAAAGCGGCACGCGAGCUGGGUUCAGAACGUCGUGAGACAGUUCGGUCCCUAUCCAUCGUGGGCGCAGGAGAUUUGAGAAGAGCUGUCCUCAGUACGAGAGGACCGGGAUGGACGCACCAAGGGUGUAUCAGUUGUCACGCCAGUGGCACAGCUGGGUAGCCAAGUGCGGAUCGGAUAAACGCUGAAGGCAUCUAAGCGUGAAGCCGACUUCAAGAUAAGAUCUCCCAUCCGCAAGGAGUAAGGCCCCAUGUAGACCACAUGGUUGAUAGGUCGCAGGUGGAAGUGCAGUAAUGUACGCAGCUGAGCGAUACUAAUAGGCCGAGGGCUUGAUCAA